rnacentral:tRNA from 1 species
GGAGGGGUGACCGAGUGGCUUAUGGUGGCGGUCUUGAAAACCGCUCCCCGACAAAGUCGGGGCGUGGGUUCGAAUCCCACCCCCUCCGCCA